CUGCGGAGGAUCUUGACUUUGGAGCAUCCGGCCGUCGCCGCGAGCAGCCGAACACUUUCCUGCGUCGCUACUUAAAAAAAAAAAAAAAAAGUCACUGCCAGUAUCAGGCGACUUUCCACAUGAAAGCCAAUGAGGCCGCUUCCCACUUUAAAAACAUUUGUUUAAAACAUAUUUUCUAAGCAUUCCUUAGACUCCUUUUUAUUUUGGAAGAAUUGCAGCCAUUUGCCUGGUUAUGUGCAAGGAAGGAAAACCCAAAAUAUUACCUAUGAGAGAGGAGGUAAGAUUGCCCCAAUCCAGUGUCAGUUGGAGGUAGCACUAACCCUUACCUCAUCUUCUUGCUAUUCACUUGAGAACUCAGUUGCUGCAGUCUCAGUAGUCUGGGCUUCAGGGCUGGCCAUGUGGGGGUUUCAAACCUUGACUUCUCUGCGUCCUGGGGUAAUUAUUUCACCUCUGAGCUUCAGUGUUCCCAUCUGAAAAAUGAAGUUAAUAAUAGCACCUGCCCCAUAGCUUCAUGACAUGGAAUAAAUGAUAUGGAUUAAAGAAUAUAUGAAGAGCGCUUGUAAGAAGUGCUCCCCAUGGGAGGGAUAUCAGGAUUUUAAAGCCUGAGGGGAUACCACACCCCAGGCCCUGCGAGAGCAGCAAGACAAGCAGGCAAGGCAGCCAGUCCCAGGCUGGGCAGUUUCUCAGGCUGUACUUCCACCUUUGGGGCCUCAUUACUAUUUUCUUCUCCGUGGAGUUCCCUCUUCUC
rnacentral:lncRNA from 1 species